GCCUCGUGGAUCUGCGACGGCGAGAGGAAGUGGACGUGCAGGUCGAUGCCGCCGGCGGUGAGGAUCUUGCCCUCGCCGGAGAUGACGUCGGUCGACGGGCCGAUGCGCAGCGCCGGGUCGACGCCGUCGGCGAUGUCGGGGUUGCCGGCCCGCCCGAUGCCGACGAUGCGCCCGUCGCGGAUGCCGACGUCGGCUUUGACGACGCCCCACCAGUCGAGCACGACGGCGUUGGUGACGACGGUGUCGGGGGCGCCCUCGGCCCGGGUCGUCGUGCCCUGCGCCAUGGACUCGCGGAU
rnacentral:sRNA from 1 species